rnacentral:rRNA from 1 species
CACGCAUGACACACUGCAUAUCAAAAGCGGAGGAAAAGAAACUAACAAGGAUUCCCCUAGUAACGGCGAGUGAAGCGGGAAGAGCUCAAAUUUGAAAUCUUCAAGGGUUUCCCUUGACGAAUUGUAGUUUAAAGAAGUGUUUUCUGUUAGAGAGGUGGUAAAAGUUCUUUGGAAUAGGACAUCAUAGAGGGUGAGAAUCCCGUAUUUGAUCACUUUCUACUAACGUUGUGAUACACUUUCAAAGAGUCGGAUUGUUUGGGAAUGCAGUCCAAAAUGGGUGGUAAAUUUCAUCUAAAGCUAAAUAUUGGCGAGAGACCGAUAGCGAACAAGUACCGUGAGGGAAAGAUGAAAAGAACUUUGAAAAGAGAGUUAAACAGUACGUGAAAUUGUCAAAAGGGAAGCGUUUGACACCAGUGUUGUUUUUCCGAAAAUCAAUUAUGAAUGGCUUGAUUUUAAGUUUCAUGACCUUAAAAGCUUGUUUCUUAUUUUUCAUGUCUUUCGUAAUGCACUUUUCGGUUAACAAGUCAACAUCAAUUUCUUUUGUUGUAAAAGGUUAAGAGGAAGGUGGCUUUACUUUCGGGUAAAGUGUUUAUAGCCUCUUAACUCUGCAAUCGGAGAGAUUGAGGUCUGCAGCGUAGAUCCUUCGGGGUUAGAUACAUUUGUGCUAAGUUAUAGCUUUUCAUAGACAACUUGUUGACUAUGUUAAGUCUUGUAAUUUACUCGCAGAUGCUAUUUUACCUACGCUUAGGAUGUUGAUCUACAGAGCGAGAGU